AUAGGACUUUUUAGCUACCGAACUGGACCAAAUUUUUUCUUUGGACCGAUUUAGACGCAAUGUAUAUAUGAGACCGGUCCAAACCAAGCUUUUUUGUUGGAUUGAAUUAGUUCGGUCCAAAAAAAAUAUAAUGGUCUCAGACUGGUCUAGGAUUUCCAGACCGAAACCCAACACUAAUUACUACUAUAACUAAUACCACAAAAAAAUAUACAUUGCAAUUUUGCCACCACUCGAUAACUAACCAAGUUAUUACACUUCUAAAACCCUUAAAUGGGAAAUUUUAUUGGGUAUGAACAAACUAAACCCAAGGAGACUAUAUAUAAAGGUGAGGUAACAAUGAUCUCCUAAGGCAGUGUGAUUGGCGUAAGCUGACUCAGCUGACGUCAAUGUUGCGGCAGUUCAGAUAACUUUCACCACUUCACCUUUGGGCCGGGGGGUGCAUUUGAUGGUGGAUAAAUUCAACUUGCCUCGGGGCGCAGCAGUUCACCUACACAACCUAUGGGCCAGUGUGUAUUAUAAAUUAGUGAACCAAAGGAAAAAAGCUUCUGUAACAACUUUUGGGAUUAAGUAAGGUCUAGGAAACCAGUAUGGACUCGGAAAUAGAGACUGAUAAUGAAGGGCUCAUGGAAAUUUGUUGCGGCAUCACUGAGUCCCAACAAAAGCCAUUGACCCAAGACGCAAAGCGCUUACAAAUUCGAAAAAGGAGUCUUGUGUGAGGAAGCAAAUGGGCCUUUGUAUUGGGAGCGUAAAUGCAAAAAAUUGCAAAAAUAACUUUCUUGUUCGAAAAGGGAAUUGUGUCGGUACAAAACCAAGUGCAAGUUACAAAACAAAAAGAAGUUUAAACAAAAUUUAAUAACGAUCACUCUAGAAAAGAGCCACUCCAAAAUCUAAUUAAGAAGAAUUAUAGAUCCCUUAAAUAAUUUCAAUCGAGGAUACUCAAAAUAGGAUGUAAAAACAUAUUAAAGCUUUUCAUUAUAACCAUGAAGACGCAAAUGACGAAAACCCAAA
rnacentral:lncRNA from 1 species